UACGGAGGGGGCAAGCGUUGUCCGGACUUACUGGGCGUAAAGGGUGCGUAGGCGGUCUUGUGCGUCGGUGCUGAAAGCGCCCGGCUUAACCGGGCGAGGCGUGCCGAUACGACGAGACUUGAGGGGCAGCGAGGGUGGCGGAACUCCUGGUGUAGUGGUGAAAUGCGUAGAGAUCAGGAAGAACACCCGUGGCGAAGGCGGCCCCCUGGGCCGGCCCUGACGCUGAGACGCGAAAGCGCGGGGAGCGAACGGG
rnacentral:rRNA from 1 species